UGCAUCAUGUGGAGAUGACCCUGGAGAGGGCAUUCUGACCUCAGCCUGUGUGGCAGAGAAUAAGGGCUUCCCCAAAGAGGGCCAUGGCUUAAUCGCUAAAACCUGUGAAUGUGCUGCUACAUGGCGAAGGGAAUUGAGUAGCAGAUGGUAUCAAGUUGCCCAUCAGCUGAUCCUAAAAUAGGGAAAGGAACCUGGAUUACCCAGGUGGGCCCAGUAUAAUCACUGAGGCCUUUAAAUGUGGAGGUUGGGGCAGAGUGCCAGGGCCAGUGUGAUGUUAGGGAGGCUUUAGCAGCUCCUGCUCUUUGAAGGGAAAGGACAGGCCGGCCACUGGGCAAGGAGAGCAGCAGCUUCUAGAAGCUGGAAAGACCAGGAAACGCAUCCUCUCCUUGAGCCAGGAAGGAGCAUUGCCUUGAAAACGCCUUGAGCUUGCUCCAGGGAGAUCCGUUUCAGAUUUUGGAACUCCAAGGCUAGAAGAGAGUGAAUUUGUGUGUGGUUUCAAGCCUCUAACUAUGUGGUCAGCUACACAGCAACAAGAGGAAGCUCACACACCUGGUGGUUCCAGGACAUCUUUGAGGAGAUAAAUUUGCUCAGCGUAAUAGCGACGAUGUAUUUGGUAUAUAACCGUUCAGGCCACACAGCUGAAAGAGGAGCAUGGAAUAGCCAAACCCUUGUCAGUUUGGAAGGCGAAGCCCUGCUGAGAGCUUUAGCCCUACCUGUGGUGUCAGCCAUCACUGGGUCUGUGGCAGCUAGAGCUGAGCUGUCCAGAUCCCUCUCAGGAAGCUUUUCUCCAGCUGGAGGAUGCGAGCUGGGCGUUUGUUUACAGCUGCUUUGCCCGAGGUCAGACCCCAGCACUUGAGGCACCUGAGCCAGCCAGGGGCAUAAAAGCCUGGCCAUCAUUGCUGCGGAGGCCUUUAGAAGAGCAGAGCAAAUCUUCAGACCGGGGAGACAGUCCUUAGAGAGGAAGGCUGUGACCUGGGGCCGAGGGAGCCCAGCUUUGUGUUCCAGGUGAGGUGAGAGUGCCUACACGUGUGUGUUGUCAUACGGGAGAAGCAGAGUUCAUGGGCCAUAGAUUGCUGGGGAAUUUACAUCCCCCUACUCUGGCUGAGCCGUGCUUGAGUCUCUGGCUGGCUGUACGUAUCACCUUCCUGACCCUUCUGCCCCCAAAUGCCUGCAGGGCGCAGAAUGAAUUUGGCACAGAACGUGGGCAGGGCUACCACAUGAUCAACUGAUUCAUAGUCCAAGAGGGAAACUGAGAGUAUCUACUCAAAGGGCAGGGGAAACAUUUGUCGCCAUUCAUCACACCUUCCACCUGGCUCCUGCCUCGACUUGUGAGAAGAAAAGCGGGUACUUCAUCUGCAUCUACACUGUGGCUUCUGGUGAUAAUGAAGGGGGUGGGGGUGGGGGGCUCAGGCAGCCCUGAGUGAAGCCUCAAAGCUACAGAGACCAUAUAACAAUAGGGCUGUGGGCAGUAUCCAUUUUUCCACAUGAAUCCCUGAACAUUUUAUCAGAAAUUCUGCCUACAUAUGCAAAGAUUUUAGGAUUUCAGCUCCGCAGGUAAAGAGCUUGGAAGUCACUCUUCUGUUCUAGUCAUAUAACUAAACAUCCAAAUAGACUGAAGAGUCAACAGCUCCUCUUGGAUCAUAAGAGGGGAGGGCACAGUCAAACCACGGCCCCUGCAAUGGGCGAGGCAAACAGGUGAACGAAGGGAGUGCUGGCCUCUGUGACUGGGGACUCGUGUGUGGAAACCACUGUGGCAGCCAGUGGCUGGGUAGGAAAGUCUCAACAGAAUUUAUUGAAUUGUUGGAGCUCAGUGUGGACGACUCAGUUAAUAAUAAAGGUGUCCCCGCCCCCAGCCCCCCAACACUGUGAGAAUGACUUCAGGAGCUCUGCUGGAUUCCCACAAUAAAUAGGAGAAAAACCAUACUCCAGCUGCUAGCAGGUGGAGGAGGUAAAACCAUUUUGCAAAAAUGCCUGAACACUGGGUUCUUCUUAACAAGGUCUGCUCUCAGGAGAAACCAAUUUAACCAGAGCCUAACCUGCUGGGGUACUAGCAGAGCCUAAGGGACCUGGGGAAGAGAAAUACCCAGCUCCAGCCAACUCAAGUUCUUGUCCCACCUAAGGCGAAAAGAACCAACAAACUCUUGGCAAGUGGCCAGACCAGGAGCCCAGGAUCCUGAAGCAGAUAGACCUAAUCACAAGACAGUCACACACUCCCCCCCGACACCUCACCACCCCGUUGCUAAAGGCCUAUUUAGAGCAAUUUCUUUUACCCAGUACAACAUGUCCCGUGAAGAAGUAAAAAGUACAAGGCAUGCUGAAAGACAACAGGCUUAUUAAAAGAUAAUAUAACAUGAACAAGCGCUGGAACCAGACAUGGCAGGGAUGUUAAAGUUUAAACCCACUAGGAUUCAUACACUAAGGGCUCCACUGGAUAAAAGAGACAGCAUGCAAGAGCAGGUGAGCAAUGGAAGUGGAAAGAAAUCCUAAAAAAGGUUCUAUGGCUAAAAACUACAAGCAAUGAAGAAUACCUUUGAUGGGCUUAUUAGUAGACUAGACAUGGCAGAGGAAAGACUCUCUGAACUUGAGUUUAUCAUGGGUCCUUGAAAAGCAAAAAGGACAAAAACUUAGAGCAUCCAAGAACUGUGGGACAGCUACAAAAGUGUAGCAAAUGUGUGAUAGGAAUAACAGAGAAAAGGACAAAAAAAUUUGAAGAAAUGAUGUCUGGGAACUUUCCAAAACAAUUUCAGACAUCAAACCAUAGACCCAGGAAGCUUAGGGAAUAGCAAGCAUGAUAAAUUUCCCCUCUCCACCCACCCCCAAGAAAAACCCUGUACCUGGAUGUAUUUUCAAAGUACAGAAAAUAAGAAAUUUCUGAAGUCAAAGGAAAAAAACACUUUACCUAUGGAAGAACAAAGGCUAAGAAUUAUACCCAACUUCUCAGAAACCAUGCAAGCAAGAAGAGCAUGAAGUAUUUAAAGUGUGAAAGAAACCACCAACCUAGAAUUCUGUACCUUGUGAAACUAUUUUUCAAAAGCAAAUAAAGACUUUCUCAGGAAAAUUGAGGGUAUUUGUUGCUUGUAGAUCUGCCUUGCAAGAAAAUGCUAGAAAGUUUUUUCUACAGAGAAAAAUAAGAUGGGUCAGAAACUCAGAUCAACAUUAAAGAAGAGAAGCAAGGAAGGAAUAAGUAAAUGUAAAAUAAAAACUUUUCCAUUUUUUAAGUUU